UACGUAGGUGACAAGCGUUGUCCGGAUUUACUGGGCGUAAAGAGCGCGCAGGCGGUCGUUCAAGUCGAGUGUGAAAGCCCCCCGGCUCAACUGGGGAGGGUCAUUCGAUACUGAUCGACUCGAAGGCAGGAGAGGGUAGUGGAAAUUCCCGGUGUAGUGGUGAAAUGCGUAGAUAUGCGGAGGAACACCGAUGGCGAAGGCAAUCCCCUGGGCCUGCACUGACGCUCAUGCACGAAAGCGUGGGGAGCAAACAGG
rnacentral:rRNA from 1 species